rnacentral:rRNA from 1 species
AACGAACGCUGGCGGCAGGCUUAACACAUGCAAGUCGAACGGUCGUAGCAAUACGAUAGUGGCGCACGGGUGAGUAACGCGUGGGAAUAUACCCCUUCGUCGGGAAUAACAGCGGGAAACUGCUGCUAAUACCCGAUAUUCUCUUCGGAGGAAAGAUUUAUCGCUAGGGGAUUAGCCCGCGGCAGAUUAGCUAGUUGGUGAGGUAACGGAUCACCAAGGCAACGAUCUGUAGCCGGUCUGAGAGGAUGACCGGCCACACUGGAACUGAGACACGGUCCAGACUCCUACGGGAGGCAGCAGUGGGGAAUAUUGGACAAUGGGCGAAAGCCUGAUCCAGCCAUGCCGCGUGAAUGAUGAAGGCCUUAGGGUUGUAAAGUUCUUUUGUCAGGGAAGAUAAUGACGGUACCUGAAGAAUAAGCACCGGCUAACUUCGUGCCAGCAGCCGCCGUAA